UACCCGCUGAAUUUAAGCAUAUAAGUAAGCGGAGGACAAGAAACUAAACAGGAUCCCCUCUGUUGUGGCGAAUGAACAGGGGCCAGCUCACGGUGAAAAUUGGGGCCUGCUAGGCCUUGAGUUGUAGUCUGUAGCUGCGAUGCCAAUGGAGGCGCACUUGUGAGCCCCUUGGAAGAGAGCAUCGACGAGGGUGAGAGUCCCAUCUGUCAUUUGCAGACCUCUGUGCACGGCACGCCUCCGAGGAGUCGCGUUCUUCGGACGUGGAACGUGAAUUGGGUGGUUGAUUUCAUCUCAAGCUAAAUAUUGAUUCAAGACUGAUAGAAGACAAGUACCGUGAGGGAAAGGUGAAAAGGACUUUGGAAAGAGAGUUUAAAGUGCCUGAAAUUGCUGGAAAGGAAACAAAUGUAACCAUACCUGCUUGGCGAGAUUGUCGUGCGCCAAGGCAUCCCCAAGAGCGUGCGGUGUUUCUUACCUUGUGCGUCCACAUUACUUCAUGGCCAGGGAAACCUCUGAGCGCAUUGUGUGCCUUCCUCCAAGGAGUGCGAAUGCGCUUGUGAAAUCCCUGUUUUGAGUGGCUAGCUUGCACGUCUGGUCGCAAUUUGGGCCCUGACGCUCAAGCAGCUGACGGAAUGGUUCCUUCUGACCCGUCUUGAAACACGGACCAAGGAGUCUAACGUACGUGCAAGUUUCGCGGGUGACAAAUGCCUGCUUGCGAAGUGAAAGCGAUGGCUGGGGACAUUCGUUCCAGUGGCCGGCCAACCAAUCCAUUGCGAGAGGCUUGAGCACAAGCACAUCUGUUGGGUCCCGAAAGAUGGUGAACUAUGCUUGAGAAGGCAAACUCAGGGAAACUCUGAUUGAGGCUCGUAGCGAUACUGACGUGCAAAUCGUUCGUCGGACUUGGGUAUAGGGCGAAAGACUAAUCGAACCAUCUAGUAGCUGGUUCCCUCCGAAGUUUCCCCUCAGGAUAGCUGGAGUGGCACACUUUCAUCAGUAAAGCGAAUGAUUAGAGGCAUUGGGGGAACGGUUGUGGUCUUCCGAACCCA
rnacentral:rRNA from 1 species